rnacentral:lncRNA from 1 species
AUGAAUGGAUUUCUGCUGUUGAGGUCUAAACAACAACUGUCUCCGGCAGCUGAGCUAGAAUGGAUUCUGAAACAGAGUAAAACGCAAGCAGAAAUUAACUGUCAGCAGCUCUGUGAGAAUGCUGAAUGUAAUUGGUAUCAGAAAUCAGAGGAUCCAACACACAACCUGUCUUCAUCAAGAGAGGAGAUAUUUCCGUAUGAUGAGGAAAGUUCUCUGUAUAAAUAUAUCCCUGCUUUGGAAAUAAAAAAGCUGCAGGAACAGAAUGCCAGCCUUCGGGCUGCUAUUGCACAAAUGAGGAAAGAAAUGGAGAGUCUUGAUGAGCAGAUGUUGUCUUCUCUUCCUCAAACAGAAGACAGACAGUUUGCAGAGCAAGGUUCAUUAGACACAAACAAAAUUUCAACUGGAACCACACUGAGCAACAUCAAAGUCAAUUCAGCUAAGUUGGAUUGUUUAGUAAACCCAGACAUGGAAGAGGGGCCAGAACCCAAAGUUCUUGAAGAAAACAUGGUCAAUUUUGGACAACAGCUACCCGAUGAGUCUGGCAUCCUGUUAGCUCUAAACACUGCACAGUUUGUAUUGCCUCUGGUAGUCUUCUUCCAAGAGAACUUGUCAAAAGAACACAGUGUCAGCUAUCAGUUCUAAAGCAUCUACAGCACAGACUCACAACACAGGAGCUGCAGUGCACAAGGCAACAGCAUCCUUCAAGGUUCGCUUCUCUUACUGCCUGCCCUAGCUUAAAGGAAGAAGAAGCUCCAAGCAGCUGUGGAGAAGAAACAGGAUUACCAUCCAGUGAGGUACAGUGCAGUUUUAUGACCAAUGUAAUUCACCUUCAUUUGGCUUUUUCAAUUUGAAUUGCUCAACAGUCAUCUCCUCGAAGACUAAAAAACCUAUGUCUUUUUUAAAUGCAUUGUCUUUUUUAUGCAUUGUUCCUGUACAAAAUAGUAUUUGUUAACACUAAAUAAACUAGGGUUUCUCAAUCA